UGUGUGAGAGCACGCCGUUCUUUUUAGUGCAGAGAGAGAUGAAGAUUUUUGGGAAAAACGUAUAUCCAAGGAAGGUUGUACUUUUCGCUUGCGGGGUUUUAGUGUUGGCGACGACAACCUACGAUGUUCACAGAUCUAUAAAGAACAACCAAUCACCCCCCUCGGAGGAGCAACUCCAACGACUAUAUCAACGCCGCCCGCCGCCGUCGACUUAACUAUGUUCCCUUUCCCCUGAGGAGAUGAUGCAGUGAGAAAACUGAGAUCGAUGGCCGGAACUGCGAGCAAUGGGAAGUUGGGGCCGCCUAUCCCGUCUUUAAGAAGGUAUUUCUCGGGCGGGCUGCUCAAGGUGGCGGAUAG